AUUGAACGCUGGCGGCAGGCCUAACACAUGCAAGUCGAACGAGUGGCGGACGGGUGAGUAAUGUCUGGGAAACUGCCUGAUGGAGGGGGAUAACUACUGGAAACGGUAGCUAAUACCGCAUACCAUCGGAUGUUCCCAGAGGGGAUUAGCUAGUAGGUGGGGUGAUGGCUCACCUAGGCGACGAUCCCUAGCUGGUCUGAGAGGAUGACAAGCUCACCGGGAACUGUGAAACGGUCCAGAGUCCUACGGGAGGCAGCAGGGGGGAAGAUUGGACAAUGGGACCAAGCCUGAUGCAGCCAUGCAGCGUGUAUGAAUAAGGCCUGCGGGUUGUAAAGUACUUACAGCGUGGAGGCGGUACCCGCAGAAGAAGCACCGGCUAACUCCGUGCCAGCAGCCGCGGUAAUUC
rnacentral:rRNA from 1 species